rnacentral:lncRNA from 1 species
UUUUCAAAGGUUGAAUGAGUCAUACAUGGUUGGUUGGUUUAGUUUGCUGAUGUCAUGCUAUUACAUCCCUCCUUUAUCUCCUUACUUCUUUAUUUCAAGCUAGAAGUAGUGGUUACCACUGGUGAUGGUUUAUGAUCCAAGAAGAUAUUUUCUACUUGAAUAAUUUGAAGUAGUGUCUACUUGAUAACAAUACAUCUUAAAGAAAAAACGCGUCAAAUCCAAUAACUUUACGACAAAUUCAACUAACUUUUUAAUGGGAGAAGGACGCCAAAAGAAAAUACGCUAUGAGAGGCCAUAGCAUUGACAUUGAGUAAACAACUUAGUAAUUUACAAAAGCUUAGGGCAAUUUUCCAAAAAAAAUUAAAAAAAAAAGCUCAGGCCAAUCUGAGGCUUAGUUUGGUAUUGAGGUGAUUCUGAAAAAAAUUGGGAGCUGUUUUUGUGUUUGGUAAACAUUCAGUUUCAGCUUUUUUUCACAGUUUUGGAUGAAAAAAGCCAAAAACAAGAAGAUGCAAAACCCAGCUUUAAAAAAUCAGUUUUUUUUUCACAUCUGUUUUACAUAAAAGUUUACCAAACAUUAUAAUACUGUUUUUUUUUUUCAAAAGCACUUUUACAAAAAAAGUUUACCAAACAACUGUUUUAUUUCACAGCUGCUUAUUCUCACAUCACAUUAGAAACAAUUUUUUUUUCAAAGCACAACAAUACUAAACCAUGGAAGAAAAUACACUGCAAUGUUAGUUCAUUUGACCUACCACCCAAGUUCCCAGAAAGAAAACUGAACAAAGUGCCUACAAAGAAGCAUUUAAAAAAAAAAAAAAAAAAUUCCGGUACAAGCAAUGUUGUAGGAGGAAGGAAAAUCAAAGUCGGGACCUCAGGCGCAAGGUUGAAUGUCAUGAAACUAAACUACAAGCUCCAUGCCCUACAAAGAAAGGUUUAGGUUUAAACCAUUACCUUCUUUAUCUUCCUCUUUCUUAUCUUCUUCUUCUUCUUCUUCUUGUUUUGCUUUAGAGGAACCUCCUCCAUGAUGACCAGAAAUCUUAACAUCCUCAAGGAAGUCUUCCGGUUGAAAUGUCGGGUUCCAACCCCCGGCAGCCUUGCUGUCUUCCUUCUUCUCAUCUUUCUUCUCUUUCAACCCAUUUGAAUUGCCCCUGAGAAGCUGGCGCACCUCCCUCGUACUUCUAAUCAACGCAUAAAAUUUCUCAAUCUUCUCCUCUUCAUCCUCCAUCUUCCUCUUCUUUCCUCCUCCUUCCAUGGUUCUCUCUCUUAACCACCCCUUGCUCUGUGUGUGUGUGUCUGGUAUACACACACAUAUAUAUAAAAUGUAUUAUGUUUGUGUGUGUGUAGACGUAAUCACUUUGUUUUCUUCUGCAUUGCUUAUUUUCUCAACUUGUUU